rnacentral:lncRNA from 1 species
GGCAACGAAGAAUCUGCCCGACUUCAAGAAGGAUGACCAGAAGGUCAUUGACACUGAGUUAAUCAAGGCUAUAGAUGCUGUCCCAGACCUUAAAAGUUAUCUUGGUGCCCGGUUCUCCCUCAGGGAUGGCGACAAGCCGCAUGAGAUGACCUUCUAAGUUAUCUGGUACAAGUUUCAAGAUCUGUGGAAAGUCUUUUUUCUCUAGCGUAUGUUCUGGUUCUGUACUUCUGAUUUUUUUGGCUGGUUGGUGAACCUUUGAUUUCUACCUGUUAAAUAUUUUGAGAAGAUUAUUGGAAGUA